rnacentral:lncRNA from 10 species
CACAAGGCAAUACAUGAUUGAGUACCAAAUGAUGCCUUCUGUCUCUGAACCAGUGACAUUUAUUACCGCACACAGAAGAGAAUGAGCCAAGAGGUGCUGCAGGAGUUCAGAGGCAAGAGAGAGGAAUGUGGCCUGAUAUGCACAGAAGACUUCAUGAAGGAGCUGGCUGAAAUGCAAUGAUUCCCAGGGAAACUUGGAACCCAUGUGUUGAAGGUGGUAGCACUUCCAUCAGCCUGGGUCCUGAAUGCCUGCAGGAGAAUAUCCUUUUGAUCCAUGUACCUGCCGAGGACUGUUCCCCAGAUAGAAGAGAGCUGUCAUGUUUGAAAACAGAAGUGAAGAUAUCCCUGGAGAGUUAGUGAAGGUCAUUGAUGGAAGCUCCAGGAGAGAGUGGGGAUAAUGGAAGGAAUAAAGUUAUCCACAUCUCAUCUUAAAGCUAGCAUCUUUAAUACAGUAUAACCAAGAUGAUUCCUGAAGGAAUACUCCACCUGAACUCAAGAGUAGUUGCUUACCAAGAAGAAGCAGUUCAAUUGUUCCUAAAACAUAUAAUUUGUCUAUCUGUAUAGUUCGACUUUUAGAUAAGGAUUAUAAUUUUCAAAUAUUAACUAUUUUCCAUUUAUGUAUCUAGAAGGAACAGCUGAACUAAUAUAAAAGCAUAUGUUUUGUGGACAUUGUCACAUAAUAGUUUGCCUAUCCACUACAGCUCAAAUUUCCAGGAAAAGAUUGUUUCAGUUUUCAACCAUUAACUUUAUCUUCCAUGCCUAUGUAUCUUAGCAUCUCCAAAUCUUAAGCAAAGAGAGAAAAUUAAAAAGGAUGUAAGUUGUUCUCAAGGACAUAAUCCUUAGGGUGAUGGAAAUGUUCUGUGUCUUGAUUGUAGUGGGGGUUAUACAACUAUAUGUGUAUGUCAAAAUUCAUAGAGCUGUACAACUAAAAAGGGUGAAAUUUACUGCCUGCAAAGGAUGCCUCAAUAAACCUGACGUAAAUCAAAGCCAAAAAAACCCAAAAUUCUUGAACACCUCCUCUGACAUUGUGGUAGGGUACGUAAGCACAUAAAAAAACAGAUUUCAGUCUUAAAGACUGAAAUAUGAAAGUAAAGUUCCAGUGUUAUCAUCUAAAUUACCAUAGAAAAAUUUUCCUAGGACACUUCGUUUCUGUUGUGCCUUAUCAGUGACAGCUCUUUGAACCCUUCGACCUGACCAGUUAGGAAAAGUACAAAGGAAGGGCCCUAUCUUUUAGCCAUCUUGUUGACUGGAUGCAGAAGGAAUACUUCCUUUAACCACUGGGGCAACAGUUAAGUUUGCUCAGAUACAAUCUCAUGCAGCAUGAUGUUUUUAAGAUAGUCUCUGUGAUUUUCCAGACUCUAGGUUGUGCUCGACAGAAACUCAGCUCCUGCCCAGACCCUUGCCUAGCUUGCAUCCUUGCUUCAUUCAGGUCUCUGCUCAAAUGUCCCUUGGCAGAAAGGCCUCCUUAUCAGCCCUAUUGCAAAUGACCAUAUUUGUGAAUUGGCUGCCUCUCUCACUAGACUGGAAGUUCCAUGAAGGCUUCAUCUUUUCUCUUAAGUUCCAUAGCCCCAGCACUAGAGCAGUGUUUGGCAUACAGUAGGUGUUCGCGAACCAUUUAAAGUGAAGAGGAGAAUCGAUUGGCCUCUGAAUCUAAACCACAGUAAAAGGGAGGAAUAAUUAGAACUAGGGACUUGAAUGCACGCAGAGUUCACUUUGGUCAUUCACCUGCCAUUCUCUCUGGUGUCUCCUUCCUACUCUCAAUGAUCCACAUAGUGGCUGCCUUGGAACCUCCAGGCUUAUCAUAUCACAACUCCACAAUCAGAGGGGAAACAGUCUUUCUCGCUCAGCUCCAGGUUGCAUAACCCCGGGAAAUGUUCUGAUUGGCCUGUCUCCCAGUGACAUACAGAGGAGGCCAGGACUGAGCCACAGUGUAUCUGCUCUUUUCCUCAUUUCUCACUCUCCAAUCCUGCCUGCUCCAUCUAUUUUGGUGAUGUUGCCCCAGUUUUAAUAAUGAUGCUUUACAGCCCAUUGCAGAUGCUGUUAGAACUCUGCCAUUAUCCCCCUGGAUCCCUUUAGUAUUUUUGCUCACACCUGCUUCCUGCAUGACAUGCAUUCGCUCUCAACAGCAACACCUGCCGAUCCUUGCUGGCGGGCUGCCCUAGGCUACUAGCACCUGCUUUGCCUGUGCAAUAAGAGAGUUCGAAGUGCCUCUAGGGGUAGCCCUUGACUGAUGACUGACAGCCUAGGAGUAUAAACGCUGCAGUCCCUUUACUCAUGAUGGAAACAACUCUGAGAUGUGACCUCCACAUGUCCCCAGAACUCCCUCAGCAUGGAGCCUAAGUUACCCUCCAUGGGGAUUUGCUGGAUGCUGCACCCUUGCUUGGCCUCCUUCCCAUCCCAGUCCCACUUCCCAUUCUCUACUUGGGAAUAUCUACUAAAUAAAUAACUUUCACAUGAAUUUGCAGUCUUCAUCCGGAGAACCCCACCUACAACAAGCUCCAUCUUUGCCCCUAGCUCUCCACCUAUUUGUCAUAAGAUUUUUUUUGAGGGCAGGUACCUUGGCAUAGUUUCCUGCCUCCCCUCCACACAUAUGCACUACAGAAAUGUUUACUUAUUUGCUUUUAAUAUGUUCCUAUCCUUAGAGUUCCUUCCUAUUUUCCAGGUUUCCCUGUUUCAACUAUCAUUGCUUCUCAGAUAUGCUAAUUUUCUUGCUUUGCUUAUUACUGAUGGCUUGUCUAUCUGCCCUCUCUAAUUCAACAUGUUAAACAUUCCUAAGUCAUAAGUCAAAUACCAUAUGUUCUCACCUAUAGGUGGGAGCUAAGCUCUGGGUAUGCAUAGACAUACAGAGUAGUAUAAUGGACAUUGGAGACUCAGAAGGGAAGGGUGGGAGGGGGACGAGGGAUAAAAACUAUAUAUUGGGUACAAUGUACACUAUUCUGGUGACAGGUACAAUCAAAUCUCAGACUUCACCGCUAUACAAUGCAUCUAUGUAACCAAAACCCCCUUGCACCUCAAAAGCUAUUGAAAUUAAAACAAAAAAACUAUUACUAACAUGGAGACAAACUAAUUUCUUUGAAAAAUGUAAACCAUUUAAAAGGCAAAUAUUACCAAAUCUAUUCACCAUCUUCCUUAUCUGGCCUUGAAGGACUAUUUAUGCACUAUUUAACCCAGUUGACCUGACCAGUGGACCUGGUUUUCCACAGAAGUGGCUAGAUUCUUUGAAGUUAAUGUUGGACUUGAUUUUUUAAAAGCAGGCCCUGAAAAAUUUUAAAGGACUAUAUGUCCAGAAUAUUAUAAAAUCAACAAAAAGAAACAUUCCUUGUAUUUUCCUCUUAUUUUCUAUACCUUUCUUCUAUGUUUUGCA